rnacentral:rRNA from 1 species
CCUUAGAGGAAGUAAAAGUCGUAACAAGGUUUCCGUAGGUGAACCUGCGGAAGGAUCAUACCUAGAGUAUUGUAGGCUUUGUCCUGCUGUCUCUUACCCAUGUUUUUUGAGUACUUACGUUUCCUCGGCGGGUUCGCCCGCCGAUUGGACAAUUUAAACCCAUUGCAGUUGCAAUCAGCGUCUGAAAAACUUUAAUAGUUACAACUUUCAACAACGGAUCUCUUGGUUCUGGCAUCGAUGAAGAACGCAGCGAAAUGCGAUAAGUAGUGUGAAUUGCAGAAUUCAGUGAAUCAUCGAAUCUUUGAACGCACAUUGCGCCCCUUGGUAUUCCAUGGGGCAUGCCUGUUCGAGCGUCAUUUGUACCUUCAAGCUCUGCUUGGUGUUGGGUGUUUGUCUCGCCUCUGCGCGUAGACUCGCCUCAAAACAAUUGGCAGCCGGCGUAUUGAUUUCGGAGCGCAGUACAUCUCGCGCUUUGUGACUCAACCGCGGCGGCGUCCAGAAGUACAUUUUUUACACUCUUGACCUCGGAUCAGGUAGGGAUACCCGCUGAACUUAAGCAUAUCAAUAGCG